GACGAGCGCUGGCGGCGUGCUUAACACAUGCAAGUCGAACGGAAAGGCCCUGCUUUUGUCGGGUGCUCGAGUGGCGAACGGGUGAGUAACACGUGAGUAACCUGCCCUUGACUUUGGGAUAACUUCAGGAAACUGGGGCUAAUACCGGAUAGGAGCUCCUGCUGCAUGGUGGGGGUUGGAAAGUUUCGGCGGUUGGGGAUGGACUCGCGGCUUAUCAGCUUGUUGGUGGGGUAGUGGCUUACCAAGGCUUUGACGGGUAGCCGGCCUGAGAGGGUGACCGGCCACAUUGGGACUGAGAUACGGCCCAGACUCCUACGGGAGGCAGCAGUGGGGAAUAUUGCACAAUGGGCGGAAGCCUGAUGCAGCAACGCCGCGUGCGGGAUGACGGCCUUCGGGUUGUAAACCGCUUUCGCCUGUGACGAAGCGUGAGUGACGGUAAUGGGUAAAGAAGCACCGGCUAACUACGUG
rnacentral:rRNA from 1 species